rnacentral:rRNA from 1 species
GUGAGGAAUAUUGGUCAAUGGCCGAAAGGCUGAACCAGCCAAGUCGCGUGAGGGAAUAAGGCCCUACGGGUCGUAAACCUCUUUUGCCGGGGAGCAAGAUUCUCUACGUGUAGAGCAUCUGAGAGUACCCGGAGAAAAAGCAUCGGCUAACUCCGUGCCAGCAGCCGCGGUAAUACGGAGGAUGCGAGCGUUAUCCGGAUUUAUUGGGUUUAAAGGGUGCGUAGGCGGAUUCUCAAGUCAGCGGUCAAAACCCGGGGCUCAACCCCGGCCUGCCGUUGAAACUGGGAAUCUUGAGUGAGCGAGAAGUAAGCGGAAUGCGUGGUGUAGCGGUGAAAUGCAUAGAUAUCACGCAGAACCCCGAUUGCGAAGGCAGCUUACCGGCGCUCAACUGACGCUGAGGCACGAAAGUGCGGGGAUCAAACAGGAUUAGAAACCCUAGUAGUCC